CAAAUUUGAAAUCUGGCCCUAGGCCCGAGUUGUAAUUUGCAGAGGAUGUUUCUGGCGAGGUGCCUUCCGAGUUCCCUGGAACGGGACGCCAUAGAGGGUGAGAGCCCCGUACGGUUGGUCGCUAAGCCUCUGUGAAACUCCUUCGACGAGUCGAGUAGUUUGGGAAUGCUGCUCUAAAUGGGAGGUAUACGUCUUCUAAAGCUAAAUACCGGCCAGAGACCGAUAGCGCACAAGUAGAGUGAUCGAAAGAUGAAAAGCACUUUGAAAAGAGGGUUAAAUAGUACGUGAAAUUGUUGAAAGGGAAGCGCUUAUGACCAGACUUGGACCGGUUGAUCAUCCAUCGUUCUCGGUGGUGCACUCUGCCGGUUCAGGCCAGCAUCAGUUCGUCCCGGGGGAUAAAGGCUUUGGGAAUGUGGCUCUUCGGAGUGUUAUA
rnacentral:rRNA from 1 species